AUUGAACGCUGGCGGCAGGCCUAACACAUGCAAGUCGAGCGAGCGGCGGACAGGUGAGUAAUGUUUGGGAAACUGCCUGUUGGCGGGGGAUAACUACUGUAAAAGGUAUCUAAUACCGCAUACCAUCAGAUGUGCCCAGAUGGGAUUAGCUAGUAGGUGGGGUAACGGCUCACCUAGGCGAUGAUCCCUAGCUGGUCUGAGAGGAUGACCAGCCACACUGGAACUGAGACACGGUCCAGACUCCUACGGGAGGCAGCAGUGGGGAAUAUUGCACAAUGGGCGCAAGCCUGAUGCAGCCAUGCCGCGUGUAUGAAGAAGGCCUUCGGGUUGUAAAGUACUUUCAGCGGGGAGGCGUUACCCGCAGAAGAAGCACCGGCUAACUCCGUGCCAGCAGCCGCGGUAAUAC
rnacentral:rRNA from 1 species